rnacentral:rRNA from 1 species
CUAUGGAAGCUUGCUUCCGCUGAGAAGAUAGUGGCGAACGGGUGAGUAACACGUGGGGUAACCUGCCCAUAAGAGGGGGAUAACAUCCGGAAACGGGUGCUAAUACCGCAUAGGUUUUCUUGAUCGCAUGAUCGGGAAAGGAAAGACGGCCUUUGUGCUGUCGCUUAUGGAUGGACCCGCGGCGUAUUAGUUAGUUGGUGAGGUAACGGCUCACCAAGACGAUGAUACGUAGCCGACCUGAGAGGGUGAUCGGCCACAUUGGGACUGAGACACGGCCCAAACUCCUACGGGAGGCAGCAGUAGGGAAUCUUCCGCAAUGGACGAAAGUCUGACGGGAGCAACGCCGCGUGAGUGGAAAAGAAGGUUUUCGGAUCGUAAAACUCUGUUGUCAGAGAAGAACAAGUUGGAGAGUAACUGCUCCAGCCUUGACGGUAUCUGACCAGAAAGCCACGGCUAACUACGUGCCAGCCGCGGC